UACGUAGGGGGCUAGCGUUGUCCGGAUUUAUUGGGCGUAAAGAGCGUGUAGGCGGCCAGGUAGGUCCGUUGUGAAAACUCGAGGCUCAACCUCGAGACGUCGGCGGAAACCCUCUGGCUAGAGUCCGGAAGAGGAGAGUGGAAUUCCUGGUGUAGCGGUGAAAUGCGUAGAUAUUGGGAGGAACACCAGUGGCGAAGGCGGCUCACUGGACCGGAACUGACGCUGAGGCGCGAAAGCGUGGGGAGCAAACAGG
rnacentral:rRNA from 1 species